rnacentral:rRNA from 1 species
UACGUAGGGGGCAAGCGUUGUCCGGAAUUAUUGGGCGUAAAGAGCGUGUAGGCGGUCCGGUAAGUCCGCUGUGAAAGUCGGGGGCUCAACCCUCGGAUGCCGGUGGAUACUGUCGGGCUUGAGUACGGAAGAGGCGAGUGGAAUUCCUGGUGUAGCGGUGGAAUGCGCAGAUAUCAGGAGGAACACCAAUAGCGAAGGCAGCUCGCUGGGACGUUACUGACACUGAGGCGCGAAAGCGUGGGGAGCGAACAGG